rnacentral:rRNA from 1 species
UACGUAGGGUGCGAUCGUUAAUCGGAAUUACUGGGCGUAAAGUGUGCGCAGGCGGCCGAGCAAGUCGAGUGUGAAAGCCCCGAGCUUAACUUGGGAACUGCGCUCGAAACUACUUGGCUAGAGUGUGGCAGAGGGAGGUGGAAUUCCACGUGUAGCGGUGAAAUGCGUAGAGAUGUGGAGGAACACCGAUGGCGAAGGCAGCCUCCUGGGCCAACACUGACACUGAGAGACGAAAGCUAGGGGAGCGAAUGGG